rnacentral:rRNA from 1 species
UACGUAGGGCGCAAGCGUUGUCCGGAAUUAUUGGGCGUAAAGAGCUCGUAGGCGGCUUGUCGCGUCGGUUGUGAAAGCCCGGGGCUUAACCCCGGGUCUGCAGUCGAUACGGGCAGGCUAGAGUUCGGUAGGGGAGAUCGGAAUUCCUGGUGUAGCGGUGAAAUGCGCAGAUAUCAGGAGGAACACCGGUGGCGAAGGCGGAUCUCUGGGCCGAUACUGACGCUGAGGAGCGAAAGCGUGGGGAGCGAAC